rnacentral:lncRNA from 1 species
CCCAGUCGGGAAAUUUGGGAUCCUGGUCCAGCUCUGGCUGGAGCGGCGGCAAUUUUGGCCAGUCUGAGAAGGACAUUCGAGUGACCGUUGACAACGAAAGGGAAAGCAUCAAGGAUGGCGGGAGAACCGUGACUCACUUCAACCUGAAAGAUGGCUUCAGUACUGAACUAGCCAAGAAGGGGACUUCACUAAUUCUCUGGUAUACUAACCAAGAAAACACGCUUAUCUGAGGCAAUAAUCAAAGAGAAUAGAAUAAUAUUCAAUUCCUGAUAGACUAAGAAGGAACUGGAAAAGCAUACUAACACUACUUAUAGCAUCCUUUAUAGCAGUAACAUUCAGGAGGCUUUGAGAUUUCUGGUGCUUUUGAAGUAAUGAUAGAUGAUAGCCUGCUGAACAAAGAAGAGAAUAACAUUUAGUUUGGGACUAAAAGUUCAUUGGAGUAUGAAAAAGACGUUUGCCUCAAUUCAAGCAAGAGGAUGCACUAAGAGUUGAAAGAAAGGGAAAGCAGGUAAGUUAGUGCAUAUUGGUAAAUGACUUUGAACAAAAUCCAGAAUUGCUGUCUCAUAUACAAUAUAAUAGGAAACCACGAUGUAGCCUUCUGACCUACAUGAAAAGGAUUUGUCCAUGAAAGGCAAUAAAAAGGCAGCUGGGGUGAGGAAAAAAACAAAAAAAAACAGUAUGGAAUAAGUAUGUGGUGGUCAAGACAUGAAAAGAGCUAGUGUUAAACAUUGUGCAAAGUGUCCUAUGACAUGUUAAAAAAUAUUUAAGGAUGCUUUUAAAUGAAAAUAAGAAAAGUAGAAUUUGGCAUUGGAUUGUUUUGAAAAGGUGAAAAAUGGGGCAAAGCAUUUCAAGACAUAAUUUCAAACUAUGUUAUAUUAAAGCUGGGCCGAAAAUUCUGUAGAAUAUAGUUUUGAAUUGGGAAAAGGUUGAGUUCUAGAAAUGGAAAACUCGAGUUGAGCAUUUCAGAAAAUAAAAUAUUUUUAAGAUAGUUCAUUUAAUAUUUGCCAUUGCCAUGUGUAAGUAAGUUAAAUUAAAAUGUGCCUCUGAAUUAAAUUGCCUAUAGAUAUAAGCCACUGAGAGUCAUUGCACUGUAUUCUUGUGGUGUUUAUUUAACCCUUAUUUCCUUCUUCAAACAAUAUUUAAAUAUCACCACUCUAUGGGUCCCAGAGGCAGAUGCAAUUUUUAAUGUUGAUUGUAUGCUCACUAGUAAUCAAGAUAUAUGUCAGGAAUUAUAAAGACUAUGCCAAGACCUGGUCAAUCAUCUGUUUGCUAUGAGCUGAUUUGUCAAUGAAGGUUAACAUAUAGUACAUUCUAGUAAAGCCUCCCUAAUAUAUUUUGUGGGGUUUUUUUUCCAUUAUACUUCUACAUUAUUCUUAUUGCAGAUACCUCUGCCAUUCUGAUUAUAUAGACAUAAAUAUUUUGCCUGUCGUUUUUGGUGUUUUAUAGCAGCUAAUAAAACUGAAGAAAUUUAAAAGAAAAUGUAUAGGAGCUGCCAGUUUAUUGAUAUGCAGUGUGAUAUACAUUUUAUGCCACAAAUAAACUGA